rnacentral:sRNA from 2 species
ACUCAACACAUUUUUAUUAAAAAGGAUGAGUCUAAAUUGUUAAAGCAUGCCGUUUCGUACGGAUCCUUGAUCAGUUUGUUAGUCCUAAACUUGUUUACAAGGAGUUU